ACCCUGGCUGUUCGUCGUGGCAAGAGUCCACCACGGAGGCUGGCAGGGCAGAGUUGCCACCCCAUGUUCUCAGUUUCUCCACCAUCGUCCCUGGGGGCUUCCAGUUCCCCCUUGCACUAGGUCACAGGCAGCGUUAGCCAUCUUCUGACUUUCCCGAAGCCUCUCUUGGUUGCAUUGGCUGAAAUGAAGCUGUCACCUUCCAAUCUCGGAAGGGAGAGAAAUUCUUGGUGACAUUGGCUGAAGUGAAGCUGUCAUCUUCCUAUCCCAGAAAGGAAAGAAAUGGGGAGACCCAUUCGAGACCAAGGGAGGCCAGGCGCCAUGGCUCACGCCUGUAAUCCCAGCACUUACGGAGGCCGAGGCAGGCAGAUCGCUUGAGUCCAGGAGUUCGAGACCAGCCUGGGCAACAUGGUGAAACCCCGUCUCUACUAAAAAUACAAAAAUUACCCAGGCUUGGUGGUACAUGCCUUUAGUCCCAUUUACUUGUGGGGCCGAAGCAAGAAGAUCCCUUGAGCCAGGGAGGUCAGGUAGAUUAGAUCAGGUGGAUCUUGCACAGACAUCAACAAGACAUGGGACGUGCAUUCUGCCUGCAAGUGGCCUUGCAGUUAUAGGCAAAUGUCAUCCUGUCAUCCUUUAUGACCAGAGCCAUGCAGGCUUCUAGAUGCCAUUCAACCAGUUCCUGAAAGUAGUCACCGGUGAGUCCAUAAAUCAAUCAAUCAACAAAAUAUUAUUACCCUCAAAUGGUUAUCAAACUGUUCUGUGCUAGGCACCUGGCACCAUGGCUCUCUGAAUAACAUAUGUCUGCCUUCAUGCCAGCCUUAGUUCCUCAUGUAGUAAUGAUAUCCUCAUAUGAAGUCAUUAUUUUUGCCUCUAUUUAACCAUAAACAGUACCAUUCAAAAGUAAAAUGAUCUAGGAAAGGCAAAUCAAUACAACAAUAAAACAUCAGUUUUAACCUAUCAGAUUGGCCAAAACUUUAAAUAUUGUCAAUGGCUAGUGUUGGCCAGAGAGUGUGGAAAUGGGAACUCUCC
rnacentral:lncRNA from 1 species